rnacentral:rRNA from 1 species
CGAACGGGUGCGUAACACGUGGACAACAUUCCGGGAAGCGGGGGAUAGCCCAGGGAAACUUGGUUUAAUACCGCAUGUGAUUGAGCGUGGCAUCACGCAACGAUCAAAGGUGGGGACCGCAAGGCCUGCCACUUCCCGAUUGGUCCGCGGCCUAUCAGCUUGUUGGUGAGGUAACGGCUCACCAAGGCGACGACGGGUAGCUGGUCUGAGAGGACGACCAGCCACACUGGAACUGAGACACGGUCCUGACACCUACGGGUGGCAGCAGUCGAGAAUCAUUCACAAUGGGGGAAACCCUGAUGGUGCGACGCCGCGUGGAGGAUAAGGUCUUCGGAUUGUAAACUCCUGUCAUGUGAGAGCAAGGCUUUAGCGUUAAUAGCGUUGGAGUUUGAUAGUAUCACAAGAGGAAGAGACGGCUAACUCUGUGCCAGCAGCCGCGGUAAUACAGAGGUCUCAAGCGUUGUUCGGAAUCACUGGGCGUAAAGGGUGCGUAGGCGGCUUGGUAAGUCAGAUGUGAAAGCUCAGGGCUCAACCCUGAAAUUGCAUCCGAUACUGCCGGGCUAGAGGACUGGAGAGGUGUCUAGAAUUCUCGGUGUAGCAGUGAAAUGCGUAGAUAUCGAGAGGAAUACUAAUGGCGAAGGCAGGACACUGGACAGUAUCUGACGCUGAGGCACGAAGGCUAGGGUAGCGAACGGGAUUA